AUGCUUAAACGACGACAUUACAAUAUUGGAGAUGUUCAUGAUUGCAUUCUUUGUGGAUUACAAAUCGAAGAGACGUUGGAGCAUCUCUUCUUCGAGUGCCAUUUCAGCUCUGACUGCUGGUCCCACAUUGGUCUCUCUUGGCUUCCGGGCAACACAAGAUUAAACAACAUCUCCAAAGCAAAAGAAGACUGGAAUAGGCCACUUUUUAUGGAGCUAUUUUUGUUGGCCGCUUGGAGUAUAUGGAAGGAGCGCAAUAACAAGUACUUUAGAAGGAUCAUACCCUCCAAAAACUCCUGGUUGGAUAGACUUAAGGCUGAUUUUUCCCUGCUCAUCCAUAGGGUUAGGGACGAACACAAACAAUACAUUCCACUCAUCCUUGCAUCCUUGUAA
rnacentral:rRNA from 1 species